AUUGAACGCUGGCGGCAGGCCUAACACAUGCACGUCGAACGAGUGGCGGACGGGUGAGUAAUGUCUGGGAAACUGCCUGAUGGAGGGGGAUAACUACUGGAAACGGUAGCUAAUACCGCCUACCAUCGGAUGUGCCCCGAUGGGAUUAGCUAGUAGGUGGGGUAAGGGCUCACCUAGGCGACGAUCCCUAGCUGUGCUGAGAGGAUGACCAGCCACACUGGAACUGAGACACGGUCCAGACUCCUACGGAAGGCAGCAGUGGGGAAUAUUGCACAAUGGGCGCAAGCCUGAUGCAGCAAUGCCGCGUGUGUGAAGAAGGCCUUCGGGUUGUAAAGCACUUUCAGCGGGGAGGCGUUACCCGCAGAAGAAGCACCGGCUAACUCCGUGCCAGCAGCCGCGGUAAUUC
rnacentral:rRNA from 1 species